rnacentral:piRNA from 1 species
UAAGAUACACGAUUUGACAGUUUCCGGC